UCUCAUCUUUGAAAGUCAGAAUCAGGGAAGCGGAAUGAAUCAGUCCAUGUCUCACCUGAGCCCUCUUUAGCUUACUCCUUAUUUCGCAGAAGCCAGCUCGUUUUUCGCCAUUUCACUGGUAAGAUCUGGAAACAUCUUCAGCUUCAUACCACGCAGUUGGAAAACACGUUCUUCUCUGGCCAUCUUUAUAAUCUCCUCCUUUGUUGUAAGCCUCCACAGCCGCACCAUCAUCGCUCUUCCUACUGCGUCCCUCCUAGGUCCAAUCCAGUGCACCAUCUCCACUUCUGGCUCCCGCAUAAGUUUUCCUCUGAACAAUUCUUUAAACAGCGUGUCCAUAUAAGUAGUCAGGUUAGUUUUUCCAAUGUCACCAGACAAUCUGAACACAUGAAGGUUGUAUUUGCAGCUCUGUAUUUCAAGCUGCUCCAUCCUCUCUCUCAGCUCGGCAUUGGAUUUAUUCAGCGUAGCAUUCUCCGACUCCAGCUUUGACAUCCGACUGUCCAGUUUAGGUCAAAUCUCCUCCACAUCACCCAGUCUUCUCACACAAGUAGAAAUAUCAUCCAUAAUCACGUUCAGUUUAUUAAUCACAAUGCUGAUCUCUUCCUUUAUGACAGAGCGUAUCAACUACGAUAUUUCUUUUCUGUCACCAUGCGCACCUGCCAUUUCUCCUUGUCCCACGUACUGAAGCUCGUCGUCGUUAUCGUUUUGUUUGCAUUAUUGCUUCAUUGCUUCACCUUCUUGGGGGUAUAGUACUGCCAACUGUCACAUAUGUUGAUUUCACCAACUAAAAACCAUUUAUUUCAGUCCAGCACAAGCCCCCACAUUGCGGCUCUAAAAAUUGGUCUCAACCCGAAAGUACCAAAAAUUGCAUAUGGGAUUAGAUUUGUGCCAAUAGGAUCAAGAAAAACACUUUGGAGAGCAAACAAAUUUUAAGACAUUGAGAGAAAAAAAAUUGGUUUCAAAAGAAAAACUUACGAUCUGAAUCAGAUUCUUAAAAUGAUCAAGAAAAUCACUUUGACAGUCAAACAAAAAUUAAGAAAUUGACAGAACAAAAAUAUUGACUAAAGGAAAAAACAUGUUUCAAAAGUAAAACUUACUAUCUGAAUCAACUUCUUAAAAUGAGUAACAAAGUAUGUUUCCUUUUUCUGUUUGCCUCUAUGUGUUUUUGUUAUCAAUUUCCUUAGUUUCGUUCUCGCUGCUCAGAGCUUUGCUCUCACUACCAGAUUUGCACUUACACUGUCUGGCUUUCUCCUUUGCAAUCCCUGAGUUUUUGGUUGCAAUUCUGACACAACCCUUUCGGGUGGGCGGGACUUCUGAGAAGUCCUCUCCCAUAGGACAGUGGUUUCUCUUGAGUGACAGUUCAGUGACCUGGAAGUGAUGUAGCCUCCAAGACAUUUUUUUCCCACCUGGUCAACAACAUGAAUUUUGAGCCCCAAACCGGUUAUUUCUGCUGUCUGUGGUGUACUGAGGAUCUAAAGUGAGUAUUGAUAAUAUAUUUUAUCUUUUCUUAGUUAAUCUGUAAGUUAAGCCACUUUUUAAGUUGGUUUUAACCAGACGCUAGCUAGCUGCUAAGCAAGCCAUUGUGCUAGCCUCAGGACAAUGGUCUACUGUUCCAGAGAGACGUAUUAAAAACUCAUCUUAACAUAUUCAUUACUGGUUUCAUGGAAUUAAUUAUUGCAGUUUAUGUUAAUAAGUUUGCUAAUUUUUCAGGAACCUGUGGAACAUCAGACUGUGCAGCUACUGGAGCUAACCUGUGUACUGCUAACUUGCUACAGAGGAAGCAGCAGAAAGCUGAGCUAACAGGCUGUUUUGCAGUGAAACGAAUGGAUUUUAUGAUGUAACUCUGACUGAAUAAUUAUCUAAAUUGAAAACUACUGCAUUGCACUACAAUGGAAGUGCUACACGGCCACAUGCAUCAACUGCAGCUGUUGACAAGCAUAUGGACCUAUUGUUCGAGUCGGUGGUGGUGGAUGCUCUAUCAUAUCAGGAGUCGAUGGUGGUGGAUGCUCUAUCAUAUCAGGAGUCUGACUAAGUACCUGUGCCUGAACCUCUCUGUGUCUAGUUCAAAAGACCUGAAAGACCUGCUGUAAGCAAGCACAGGUUAAGAUUUUAAAAGAACCCGUAAGGUUGCCUGAUGCUGAACUUAGGGCAGCUGCUUGUACUCCCGUGGAACAACCGCCUGUGGGAGGAGUCGUUGUGUUGCUGUUAGGAGUUUGGGUCGGAGUCCUGGGUUUGUGUUCCCUUUAAUCUCUUCCUUAGCCUUGCUAGUCACCAUUGCAGAGCACCAUGGAGAGGCUUACCUGAAAACUCUUCUCAUGGGGCAGGCACAUCCUCACACACCUGUAACCCCAUCCUUGAAUAAAAGCUGGUAGCUGGUCACUCAUCAGUGUUUUAACCCAUAUCUAGCCCAUGACUCUGCCGUUUUUCAAACUUACGUUCUCAUUUUCUAUGCAGAUCUAUGGGAAUUCUUUCCUUGAAGCUCCUGAUCACACAACUAUACUGGCAGUCGGCUUACCCACUACCUUCUGCUCACCCGCUUGCAACUCAUGCUGUCAUUCUCCCAGACUUCUGGUUGUUUCUCCACCAUUCUGCUGUCUCCCAUCUGCUUUACAACUUCAGACCGUAAGUACCUAAACUUUUCCUUUUGUAAGUCUCUCUUUAGUCAUUACUAACACUCAGUUUUACCUCAGGGCCUUCUGAUCUUUAAACACUAAAACCUGUGGCUACAUCUCUGUGGCAUUUCUCAGUCUCUGUAAGCUACCUGCACAGUCUAAGAAUAACCUGACCUGUUUCCUCUUACUAACCUCUGCUCUUCCUCGCAGAAGCUUCUGGUUCCUGAUCUCCAGCUGUUACCUCUUCAGUCAUCCGUCAAACAUUUUAAUAAACUGUUUUUAGCUCA